GGGAGACAUUUUCAUCAAUCGGAUUUCUGUUCGAUCUACUUUCUGAUUUCGAAUAGUGACAGUGUUUAUUGUCAUGUUUAGAACAGUGACAAACAGUUACCAUUUUCAAGUAAACUCGUUGCCAUAUUCGAAUCAGAAAAUUCAUCCCAUCAAUGUCUCUUUUCCCAUGUCAUGUCGAUUCAUUUGAAUCGUGAUGUAUUCCCUUACCUAAAGUUUGGUUUUGGUGGUUGCUCUC